CCUACGGGUGGCAGCAGUGAGGAAUAUUGGUCAAUGGUCGUAAGACUGAACCAGCCAAGUAGCGUGCAGGAUGACGGCCCUAUGGGUUGUAAACUUCUUUUAUACGGGAAUAAAAUGCUCCACGUGUGAUGUUUUGUAUGUACCGCAUGAAUAAGGACCGGCUAAUUCCGUGCCAGCAGCCGCGGUAAUACGGAGGGUCCGGGCGUUAUCCGGAUUUAUUGGGUUUAAAGGGAGCGUAGGCGGCUUGUUAAGUCAGUCGUGAAAUGGUGCGGCUCAACCGUGACAGUGCAGUGGAAACUGGCAGUCUUGAGGACAGGAGAGGUGGGCGGAAUU
rnacentral:rRNA from 1 species